ACGCUUAAUGCCGCCCUGCGGCAGCGGGAGACCCAUUUUUUGGGGUGAAUCCGAUGGCAGCAUCGGUAGGGGACCUUCUUCCCCGAACCCGACAGCUAAUCUCGUCAGCGCGGAAGGG
rnacentral:sRNA from 1 species